UUGGAGGGCAAGUCUGGUGCCAGCAGCCGCGGUAAUUCCAGCUCCAAUAGCGUAUAUUAAAGUUGUUGCAGUUAAAAAGCUCGUAGUUGAAUUUUGGAUUCUGCCAGUUGGUCCAUCUUUUGAUAAGUACUGAUUGUGUGGGGUCUAUCCGCCUGGUGAUACGUAAUGUACUUUAUUGUAUGUUGCGGGUAGUCAGGACCUUUACCUUGAAAAAAUUAGAGUGUUUAAAGCAGGCUUAUGCCGGAAUACAUUAGCAUGGAAUAAUAGAAUAGGACGAUGUUGUUUUAUUUUGUUGGUUUCUAGGACAACCGUAAUGAUUAAUAGGGAUAGUUGGGGGCAUUAGUAUUCAAUUGUCAGAGGUGAAAUUCUUGGAUUUAUUGAAGACUAACUACUGCGAAGGCAUUUGCCAAGGAUGUUUUCAUUAAUCAAGAACGAAAGUUAGGGGAUCGAAGACGAUCAGAUACCGUCGUAGUCUUAACCAUAAACUAUGCCGACUAGGGAUCGGGCGAUGUUGUUUCAAUGACUCGCUCGGCACCUUAUGGGAAACCAAAG
rnacentral:rRNA from 1 species